UGCUGCACCGUAAACGCGAUUGCUUUUCUUCGAUUGUGCGUGGUUCGUCGUACACGGAAGCGCAACGAUGCCUGGCUGUUGUUGCGCACCAAACUGCAAGUCCAAUUAUGACGGAGGACAAAGUGUCCGAGUGCACAAGUUCCCAUCUGACCGAGCCACUCGGGAAGCAUGGUCGAGAGCAGUUCCUCGGAAGGACUUCUCGCCAACGAAGUACACAGUGCUCUGUGAAAAGCAUUUCCUGCCAUCGGAUUACUUGAAGACGACAUCUUACACGGACGUCAAGACAGGAAAAGUGGUCGAAGUUGCCAUGAAAAACAUCCGCCUGAAGAAAACUGCAGUUCCGAGCUUGUUUCCCAAUUGCCCUGCCUAUUUAUCGCGUCCGCAAGUGUGCGUUCGAGAAGCGCCGGCUGCCAAAAGAGCGCGCUUGGAAGCCACAUAUUUGCAAAAAGCAAUAAUGCUUUCUCAGCAAACCCAAGCAGAAGAGGACGCCAAAAAUCUGGUUGGUAGCUUUGCGGACUUGCUGAAGGCCUUGCCAAGCUUUCAGUGUUCGGACUUCUGGACAGUUUUGAACAAGGGCUCCAAGGUUUUCUUUUUGGACUUGUCACUUCAAUCUGCUCCUGCAGUCCGUACUUAGGUGAUCGUGUCCACAGACCUACGCGUCGAAGUAUUUUUUGGUGAAACGGGUGUGAGGAAGUGUGGUGAUGUUUUAGUUCCUGAAAAGCUGUGCCACUUGAGAGAUUUGAAAAGUGUGUUACACAUGAUCGAACAGACACGUAAGGAUAUCAGCACUGAGCGUUCUGAAAAGGCCCGUCAUCUACUGACAUUGGUUUCGACAUUGCUAGAGGAAGUAAGUGGAAAACAUUUCGCAUGCGAGUUGCAAGAAUGGCAUUUGGAAGUGCUUAAAUUCUUGAAGAGUCAAGUUGAUCUUGUUUUGAAUGAUGCUGGCCGAUAUCCCUCCGAUUUAUUGGUUUUUGCUAGCCUUUUGCUCACAAUUUCACCUCAUGCAUAUAGAUUCCUGAGAAGUUCGAUGAAGCUUAAGAUGCCGCAUCCUGAUACGAUCAGAAGACUGUGUUCAUUGUACGAUGUACGCCCUGAAACGGAGCAGCAAGAAUGUAGCUUUCUUUCCUAUGCAAAGCGUAUUGUAAGCACAUAUAAAGAGCAUGAAAAGACUGUAACGUUAAUGAUUGAUGAGAUUCACCUUCAAUCAUUUUUUGAUUACAAGGCUGGGUUGGUUACUGGUGCUGCGGUAAAUUCAUCGACUGCAGCAAAAACUGCCCACGUAUUUAUGAUACAGAGCCUGCUUUCUUCAAACAAGGAUGUUGUACACAUCCUUCCUGUGGCACAAAUCGAUGCUAAGGCGCUGCACGACUUCCUUCGGAAGAUUGUUCUUGAUCUAGAGGCAUCUGGUUUUAGAAUAAUCGCAGUGAUCUCGGACAAUAACUCCAUAAACAGAAAAGCCAUGUCCUACUUCCCUAAGCCGGCAAGUGUCAUCAUUGUUUACCAGCAUCCUGCUGACCCAUCACGACCCCUGUGUUUUGUGGUGGACCCAGUUCACAUACUAAAGUGUAUAAGAAAUAACUGACUGAAUCAAAGAAACAUUGGCAAAUGCAUGUACUUUCCUGAACCGAAGAGUGAUGAGGCUGAACCAAAGAUACUUACAGCAUCUUUCAAGGUAUUAUGCCAGCUGCACGAAGCUGAAAAGCAUGAGCUCUUGAAGCUAGCACCAACGCUCACUUUGAAGGCACUGAACCCCUCAAACAUGGAACGGCAGAACGUUAAACUGGCCUUAAAGAUUUUUAACUCAUCUACUGUUGCUGCUCUCAGUGUUGCAACGUUCCAGCAUGCAAAGGAAACCUCUCAAUAUGUCGACACCAUUUUGACUUGGUGGAACAUUGUUAACGUCAAGACGCCAAGAAAAGGACAGCGGUUGCGAGAUCAAUUGCAAGGUCCAAUAGUUUCAUCCUCAUGUCCUCAACUAGAAUUCUUAGAGAGAAUAGCUCAAUGGCUUGAUCACUGGAGAAGCCUCGAACAUGACAAUGGCCGCUUGACACGUGAAACGCACAUAGCUUUCAGCCACACUACCCAUGCCUUGCACGAACAUGCCAUAUACUGUCUCAAAGAGCUUCAUUUCGAGUAUGUUCGUCUGGGCAAAUUUCAAACUGAUAGCUUAGAGGAUCGCUUUGGAAAGUACCGGCAAUUGUCUGGUGCCGAUUACCACGUGUCUAUAAGGCAGAUAUAUGAAUCUGAAAACAAAUUGCGUUUGCAGAAGGUUCUGGACCUGCCAGAUUCGGACAUUCUACUACCACCGAGCGCGAACACGUUGGAGACAAGUGUACAUUCAGGAAACGGCCAGUUUCAAGUCACUGUGACCGACUCCGACAUUGAGAAAAAAACGUCAAGGCUACCGGCACUAACCUAUGUUGCCGGCUAUUGUGCCCAUGCAGCUCUAAAAAAGCUGACAUGCGCAUCUUGCAGUGAAAGCCUUGUGAUGCAAGACGUCGAUCUAGAUGACCCUGAGAAUGCAUUAAUCACGAAGAUGACAAGGGGUGGCCUGAAGUUUCCACGAGCAGUUGUAGUUAAUGCUGUACUCUUUACUGAAAUUAUAUUGGACAAGCUCAGGACACCAGAAUAUGCCGUACGAUUUUUCAGCCUUCCUAGGCAGAAAGAUACUCUUGUCGGCCUUGUGUUCGCUACCCUUCAUGACUUUGAGGAUGUCGAUGUGUGUGAUUUCGGUCAUCCUGCACAGGAGGUAAUGGGGCAUGUUGUAAGUGCUGCAGCGAAUACACUGCUGAACAACUUGUGCCGCACAGAAAACGACAAAUUACGCAACGCCAAGAACGACCGAAAAUUGCAGACCUUUAAGGCCUGAGAUGUUUCUCAAUAUUUAUUUGUUAUUCAUGAAGCUCUGUUUUGUUGAACAUCUACGUAUGUUUGUGUUGACAGAACCCUUGUAAAAAGAAACCUGUGGCGUAGCUAGGACUUACUUGCCUACAUUAUCAAAAUUUAAACCCUGCAUUUUGGCCAAUUCAAAUGUUAUUUGAGUGCAUUGUGCUACCUGUUUAUGAUUCGAACUCUCCAUGCUACCGCAGUCCAUUAAUUGCAUGUUUUCCUUUAGGACUGAGAGUAGGCCUCUCGUUUUUUACUUACUUUUCACCACUAUCUCAGUAUUUUAUGAAGACCAAUAAGGCCUGCAAACAAGGCGGGUGGAAAUAAAAUAACCACAAGAAAUGGUACAACAAAGACGGAAGCUUAUUCUAUUUGAGAAUUAGUUGUGCGUGACCCUAUAAUAACAAAGCUUUAACAAUAAAAUGAACCUCGAUAUUCGUGUGUCCAGCGAGGACUGUUUUACGCAAUGCAAGAGUGAGAAUGAUAAUUGUAUAUGGAAGAUUUAAAAUGUUUGUUUCUGAAUGCAGUUCUUAUCAUUUGUGAAUAAAGUAUAUUCUGUGUCUUCAA